rnacentral:lncRNA from 1 species
GCUCAUGCCUGCAAUGCCAAUGCUUAGGAUGCCAAGAUGAGAGGAUGCUUGAGCCCAGGAGCUCAAGGAUGUAGUAAGCUAUGAUUGCACCACUGCACUCCAGCCUGGGUGACAGAGCAAGACCUCAUCUCUCAAAAAAAUACAUAUUAACUUACUUGUACAUGUAGAGUAAAUGUGUAUGGGAGAACAUAAGCUGUAUCAACAGAGGUUAACCUCUGUGUCUGGUCCAGAAAGGUAAUGUAGUGAUAACCACCCCCAUUAUUAAAACCAGUAGGCACUUCUCUUUCUACCCUAUUUCAAGGGUUCAUGCUUAAAUUCCAAUACUUUCAACCUUAAAUAUCAUGUAUUUGACCCUAAAUGCUUGAUUAUUAUUUUCCACCACUUUAUAGAUAACUGAAUUGCCUCACCCCACAUCCUUGCCCUCAGUUUGGUGGCAUAACCUCAUUUUUGGAUUUGUUCUUACUUCAAGAUUAAAAUUUGCGAUUCUUGACACUCCAACAUGUCUUUGCUUUCAUUGGUCCAACUCCUGAUUCUGCAUGAGAAACUCAAAACCUUUUAUUAUCUAUUUAUACAUGUAAUCUAUUAAUGGCUGUGGAUACAGAGUACAGCUUCAAGGAAAUAUUCAGCCCAUUUGGGGGGCAACAAGAGGCAUAGAAGGGUGAAAUCAGCUACAUGAGCCGUGGCCAAAGAUGAAUGACGGUGGACAGCCUACUCUCACUGCUUUCAAUUAAAUUUUCUCCUUAAGUGAGCAAACUUUCAAUUGGAAUUAUGUAGAAGAAAAAAGUGGUGCAUAUGGAAGGUGAUGUGUGCUUCUCAUGCUAAUUAGAUGCCCUCAAUAUUUCUUAGCUGGAACUUCAGUUUCAGAAAUAAAGAUCAAGACACACCACUUCCCAACAAGUCGCACUGAGGAAUGCAUGGACCUGAAGCAGGAUAAUUAAAAGAGAAACCUGUAAAAGGCAACAUUCCUGUGAGCGAGUUGGUGCUGCAACGUGCUGGUAAGAAAACGAGUUUAAUUUUUUUCAUCUUUUUUUUUUUUUUUUUGCUUUUUCUUUUUUUAAAGAGCUGAAGGCUUUGUCUGUCUAAGGCAGUCAUAAGCGUGGCUUCCCUG